UACGUAGGGUGCAAGCGUUGUCCGGAAUUAUUGGGCGUAAAGAGCUCGUAGGCGGUCUGUCGCGUCUGCUGUGAAAAACUCGGGGCUUAACCCCGGGCCUGCAGUGGGUACGGGCAGACUAGAGUGCGGUAGGGGAGACUGGAAUUCCUGGUGUAGCGGUGAAAUGCGCAGAUAUCAGGAGGAACACCGGUGGCGAAGGUGGAUCUCUGGGCCGUAACUGACGCUGAGGAGCGAAAGCAUGGGGAGCGAACAGG
rnacentral:rRNA from 1 species